rnacentral:SRP_RNA from 2 species
UCAUAGAAUAAAGGCUCCGAGCAUAGCAAAAUAUAGAUAUCAUUUGGCGGCUACCUUGGUGGUAUGCUGAUCUUUGGGUCCUGCGUAAUGGGCACCUAUGAAUCGUGUCAGGGCAGGAAUGCAGCAGCACUAAGUAGGCCCGCUCAUCUGACGCGGGGUUGCCUGGAGGGAGUGCCCUCAGGGUGGCUACCAAUUGAUAUCUAUGA